rnacentral:rRNA from 1 species
UAGGGAAUCUUCGGCAAUGGACGAAAGUCUGACCGAGCAACGCCGCGUGAGUGAAGAAGGUUUUCGGAUCGUAAAACUCUGUUGUUAGAGAAGAACAAGGACAUUAGUAACUGAACGUCCCCUGACGGUAUCUAACCAGAAAGCCACGGCUAACUACGUGCCAGCAGCCGCGGUAAUACGUAGGUGGCAAGCGUUGUCCGGAUUUAUUGGGCGUAAAGCGAGCGCAGGCGGUUUCUUAAGUCUGAUGUGAAAGACCCCGGCUCAACCGGGGAGGGUCAUUGGAAACUGGGAGACUUGAGUGCAGAAGAGGAGAGUGGAAUUCCAUGUGUAGCGGUGAAAUGCGUAGAUAUAUGGAGGAACACCAGUGGCGAAGGCGGCUCUCUGGUCUGUAACUGACGCUGAGGCUCGAAAGCGUGGGGAGCAAACAGG